UACAGAGGUCUCAAGCGUUGUUCGGAUUCAUUGGGCGUAAAGGGUGCGUAGGCGGCGCGGUAAGUCGGGUGUGAAAUCUCGGAGCUUAACUCCGAAACUGCAUUCGAUACUGCCGUGCUUGAGGACUGGAGAGGAGACUGGAAUUUACGGUGUAGCGGUGAAAUGCGUAGAUAUCGUAAGGAAGACCAGUGGCGAAGGCGGGUCUCUGGACAGUUCCUGACGCUGAGGUACGAAGGCCAGGGGAGCAAACGGG
rnacentral:rRNA from 1 species